rnacentral:tRNA from 1 species
GGGCUCGUAGCUCAGUGGCAGAGCGGGCGGCUCAUAACCGUCUGGUCGCAGGUUCGAAUCCUGCCGAGCCCA